rnacentral:tRNA from 1 species
GGAGAAGUGGCCGAGUGGUCGAAGGCGGUUGACUCGAAAUCAACUGAGCGGGUAACUGCUCCGUGAGUUCGAAUCUCACCUUCUCCGCCA